UGAGGCCCUCCCUACUCCAGUUCUGGUUCUAGAUCCACUGAGCCACCUAGCUACCUCUUCUUCAGUCUCUUGCAAUAGCUUUCUAAGUGGAACCUCUAGUUUGAGACUAUCUGUGUCUAAGCCUUCUCCAAAGCUUCCAAAGUGAUAUUCCUACAUAUAUAUAUGCAUAUAUAUAUAUGUUCCCUAUAUAUAUUCCAAUAUAUAUUCCCAAUUACAUAAGAAAGUUUUUAAUAUUUCAUUUUAUUCACAUUUUGAGUUCUAAAUUCUCUUUCUCCUCCACCAUCCCCAGUGGUAAGUAAUCUAAUAUAGGUUAUAAUACAUGUACUAUCAUACAAGACAUAUUUCCAUUUUCAUCAUGUUGAGAAAGACACAUUACACAUAAAAAGAAGAAACUCGUGAAUGAAAUAAAGUGAAAAAAAGUGAAAAAUAAAGUGAAAAGUUUGCAUUUAUACUUCAUCAAUUCCUUCUGUAGCUGUGGAUUUUUCAUUAUGGGUCCCUUGGAGUUGUCUUGGAUCUUUGCAUUGCUGACAAUAAUUAAGCCAUUCAUAACUGAUCAUUGUAUAAUAUUGUUGUUACUGUGUACAGUGUUCUCCUGAUUCUCUUAACUUCAUUUUGCAUCAGUUAGUUUAUCUAACUCUUUCCUGGAUUUUUUGUGAUCAGUCUGUUCAUCAUUUCUUAUGGCACAAUAAUAUUACAUCACAAUCAUAUGCCAGAAUAUAUUCGGCCAUUUCCCCAUGGAUGGACAGCCCCAUAGUUUCUAAUUCUUUACCACCACAAAAAGAACUGCUAAAAAUAUUUUUGUACAAAUAGGUCCUUUUUCCCUUCCUUUGAUCUCUUUGGGAUACAAAAUGAUAUUCCUAAAGCCUAUCUGGCCAUAUCACACCUCCACGGAAGAAGCUUCCUUGGUUCCAGAUAAUCUUUAGGAUGGAGUAUGAAGUCCUUUAGUACUGAGAGCUUUUCAUUGUCUGAUUCCAGUGUCUCCAGACUUAUUUCAUAUUUCUCCUUUGUCACACUUUUAAUUUGCAGCCUACCUGGAGUACUUGCCCUACCUUGAAAAGGCAUUCCAUCACCCUGGAUGAUUCAGCAUGAGCUACUUCCCAUACCUGGGAAAGGUCUUCUCAUGUCUGCUUUUUCACAAGAUUUAGUUCAAUUCAGAGUUCAAGUUGAAUAUCAUCUCCUCUAAGAGGCCUUUCUGAUUGUUCUUGUUCCUCUGUAGGCAUCAUGACAUCUUUAAAAUGCAGUCAGAAAGAAAGGCUUGCUCUCACAUCCCAGCUCUGCUACUUAAUUGCUUUGCAACCAUGGACAAGUCCCAAUGGAUGGAUGUCUCUGAGCCUUACUGGUUAGUUAAUUUGGAGAGGAAGCCUGAUAUCUCUUAAUUUUCAGUACAACAUUCCACCUUCUAUCAUUGUAUAAUUUGAACUGAAUUUUUACGUAUAUGAUGAGAAUUAUAGAAUGUGAGAAUUGGGACGGUCCUUAGCAGCAAUCUAGCCUAACAAAUACAUGAAAGGAAUCCCGCCUGUAACAUACCAGAGUGGUCAUUCAACCUCAGCUUAAGGAUCUUUCUCCAAAGAAGGGAAACUCAUCACUUCUCUAGGGAUUGAAUUGUACUUUUGAACAGUUCUAAUUAUUAAGAAGCUUUUCUUGACAUCAACUCUAAAUUGGUUUCUUUACAACUUCUCCCCAUGGCUCCUGGUUCUGCCUAUGGGUCCCAAAAGAGCAAGUCCAACCCUCCUUACAUAUGACAGUCCUUCAAAUAUCUAGUCAGCUAUCAUUUUCCCUCGGAAUCUUCUUGAAGCUUAAUAUUCCUUCAACUAAUCCUCAUGUGAAAGGCUGAAUUAUUAACUGAUUUAUUAUGACCUAACAAUGAGGGGGUCCCUCCUGGAGGGAGGAGGCCAUAAGGUUCUCUCUUCAUUCUUGUUUUCUAUCAAUGGAUCCACAGCACUAUGCUUGUCUAGGAUAGGUUUGGUUACAGACAGUCUUAGCCUUGGGGCAUCCCCAGUUUAUGGGUGAAAGAAGUUGUAAAGGGAUCUUUUAGGGUCGGGGUUAUAUCCAGUUCUUUGGAUAUUGGUAGGAAAGAACACAUUGGCAGUAAUCAGGGAGGAAGGCAUCAAUUAUACUUUAAAAAGGUACAAAUGGAGGCACAGUGCGGUUAGGGGAUGGGGUGGUGGGAGACAGGUAGCAUGGAGGAGAGAGAGAGGGGCACAGAGAGUCACUCACAUAACUGAGGAUUGGAGUGGCGUUGUUUGGGCAACAUGGCCCUGUAGCAGGCAGAGGAAUGCUAGGACAAGAGCUUGGGAGUUCUGUUUUUAUAGGGUCUUGGUGUUGAAAAACUAACUAAUUCUGGUGAUGCCACUGUAAGGACAUCUUUAUACUCUUUAAAAAUGGGGUCAUGAAGAGUGAGACAUGUUUGAAAAACAACAACAACAAUUCCAUAAAGGGGAAGAUAUUUGGACUACACUUUUUGAACUGCUGCACUGGGACACCUCUUGAUAUAUUGAUAUUGUACCAUUAACAUCUACUCUUUGAAUCUG